CAGCCACAUCACACUGAAACCCUAGUUCCCAUAUGAUCACUAAAGUUAAGCAACCCUGAGCCUGGUCAGUACCUAGAUGAGUGACUACUUGGGAAUACCAGGUGCUGUAAG